UACGUAGGGGACAAGCGUUGUCCGGAUUUACUGGGCGUAAAGAGCGCGCAGGCGGUCGAUCAAGUCGAGUGUGAAAGCCCCCGGCUCAACUGGGGAGGGUCAUUCGAUACUGAUCAACUCGAAGGCAGGAGAGGGUAGUGGAAUUCCCGGUGUAGUGGUGAAAUGCGUAGAGAUCGGGAGGAACACCUGUGGCGAAGGCGGCCGUCUGGGCCGGCCCUGACGCUGAGGCGCGAAGGCGUGGGGAGCGAACGGG
rnacentral:rRNA from 1 species